GACAGAGGGUGCAAGCGUUGUUCGGAAUCAUUGGGCGUAAAGCGCACGUAGGCGGUUUGGUAAGUCAGAUGUGAAAGCCCAGGGCUCAACCCUGGAAGUGCAUCUGAUACUGCCUGACUUGAGUCUCGGAGAGGGUGGUGGAAUUCCUGGUGUAGAGGUGAAAUUCGUAGAUAUCAGGAGGAACACCGGUGGCGAAGGCGACCACCUGGACGAAGACUGACGCUGAGGUGCGAAAGCGUGGGGAGCAAAC
rnacentral:rRNA from 1 species